rnacentral:rRNA from 1 species
CCAAUAGCGUAUAUUAAAGUUGUUGCAGUUAAAAAGCUCGUAGUUGAAUUUCGGGAUCAAUUUGCUGGUCGUGCCUUCGGUACGCACUGGUAUUAUUGGUUUCUCCUUUCUGAUGAAUCGCGAUGUCAUUAAUUUGGUGUCGUGGGGAAUCAGGACCGUUACUUUGAAAAAAUUAGAGUGUUUAAAGCAGGCUCACGCUUGAAUACAUUAGCAUGGAAUAAUGAAAUAGGACGUUUGAUUCUAUUUUGUUGGUUUCUAGGAUCGACGUAAUGAUUAAUAGGGUUAGUUGGGGGCAUUAGUAUUCAAUUGUCAGAGGUGAAAUUCUUGGAUUUAUUGAAGACUAACUACUGCGAAAGCAUUUGCCAAGGAUGUUUUCAUUAAUCAAGAACGAAAGUUAGGGGAUCGAAGACGAUCAGAUACCGUCGUAGUCUUAACCAUAAACUAUGCCGACUAGGGAUCGGAUGAUGUUAAUUUUUUAAUGACUCAUUCGGCGCCUUACG